rnacentral:ncRNA from 1 species
AACAACAUUAAGGUUGUCGGACUUAUGCGGUACCCGCCGCGUAGUAGAUAGAAUCUACAUUGGGCUUCUAUAUAGGAGAAAACAAAAUG